rnacentral:lncRNA from 1 species
CUUCCUACGUGGGAUCAUUAUGUGACUCAUUCUUCUGAUAGCUAACAACUCUUCCUCUACAAUUAGAUCUAGAUAUAACUUAAGCACUAGUCAGGGUUUUAAGGGACCUAGAUCUAUGUACUCAUGUGCUAGGGGAGUAUUUUUGGAUCCCAUAUUGUUGUCUCUUUCUUUUUAGACAAGGGUUCAAUUAAUAUCAUGAGGGAUUCAACUAGUAAUUCUGAUAUUGACUGAGUGUAAUGGUCACUAGGUUUGAAUACCUAAUUAUUAUUAUCAGCUUCGAGUAUCUUUUUUAGUUCCUCAGACUUGAAUAUUCUCAAUUGAUCAUACUGAUCUUUAAGUUCUAGACCAUUCUAGACUCUAGGGUCAACCUCGAGUUGGCUUGGUAAUCUAUCCUUUUCUAGUUUACCAACCAUUGUAGCUGAUUGAUCCAAUUAUUUUAAUAACUAGUUAGUGGUUUGCAUAAAAUUAUUGAGAGUAUUUUUAAUAUCUGAGGUUGAUUGUGCCAAGACUUUUAAACUCUUUUUUAAUAUGUUAACUUCUUCCUCAAGAUCUA